UACGUAGGGGGCGAGCGUUGUCCGGAAUCAUUGGGCGUAAAGCGCGUGUAGGCGGCUCGUUACGUCCGGUGUGAAACCUUGGGGCUCAACCCCAAGCCUGCACUGGAUACUGACGAGCUCGAGUCCGGGAGGGGAGAGCGGAAUUCCUAGUGUAGCGGUGAAAUGCGCAGAUAUUAGGAAGAACACCGGUGGCGAAGGCGGCUCUCUGGAACGGUACUGACGCUGAGACGCGAAAGCGUGGGGAGCGAACAGG
rnacentral:rRNA from 1 species